rnacentral:rRNA from 1 species
AUGCUGCAGGCCGUGGGGCACGACGUAGAGCUCGUUCUUCUUCACAACCUUGGAGUAGAGUCGGUUGUCCGCGGACGUGAACCCGACCAUGACCUCACCCUUGAGCACCAGCACGAGCUCGGAGCCGCGCGGGUGCGAGUGCGGCGGGUUGAGGCCGCCCGGGGCGAGGUCGAUGCGCGUGAUGGAGAGCCCCAGCGUGUUGAGGCCCGGGAAGACUGA